CGGAUUAGCGGCGAACGGGUGAGUAACGCGUGAGGAACCUGCCUCUUACAACGGGAUAGCCUCGGGAAACCGGGAUUAAUACCGUAUAAGACUCCGACACCUCCUGGUGAUGAAGUCAAAGCGUUAGCGGUAAGAGAUGGCCUCGCGUCUGAUUAGUUAGUUGGCGGGGUAACGGCCCACCAAGACGACGAUCAGUAACCGGCCUGAGAGGGUGAACGGUCACAUUGGAACUGAGACACGGUCCAAACUCCUACGGGAGGCAGCAGUGGGGAAUCUUGCACAAUGGGGGAAACCCUGAUGCAGCGACGCCGCGUGAGCGAUGAAGGUUUUCGAAUCGUAAAGCUCUGUCCUAUGGGAAGAUAAUGACGGUACCAUGGGAGGAAGCCCCGGCUAACUACGUGCCAGCAGCCGCGGUAAUACGUAGGGGGCGAGCGUUGUCCGGAAUUACUGGGCGUAAAGGGUUCGCAGGCGGCAUGGCAAGUCCGAUGUAAAAGGCGAAGGCUCAACCUUCGUAAGCAUCGGAAACUGUCAAGCUUGAGUGAAGGAGAGGCAAGUGGAAUUCCUAGUGUAGCGGUGGAAUGCGUAGAUAUUAGGAGGAAUA
rnacentral:rRNA from 1 species